UACGUAGGGUGCGAGCGUUAAUCGGAAUUACUGGGCGUAAAGCGUGCGCAGGCGGUUUUGUAAGACAGGCGUGAAAUCCCCGAGCUCAAUUUGGGAAUGGCGCUUGUGACUGCAAGGCUAGAGUAUGUCAGAGGGGGGUAGAAUUCCACGUGUAGCAGUGAAAUGCGUAGAGAUGUGGAGGAAUACCGAUGGCGAAGGCAGCCCCCUGGGACGUCACUGACGCUCAUGCACGAAAGCGUGGGGAGCAAACAGG
rnacentral:rRNA from 1 species